GACGUAGGGCGCGAGCGUUGUCCGGAUUUAUUGGGCGUAAAGAGCUCGUAGGCGGCUUGUCGCGUCGUUCGUGAAAACCUGCAGCUCAACUGCAGGCUUGCGGUCGAUACGGGCAGGCUAGAGUUCGGUAGGGGAGACUGGAAUUCCUGGUGUAGCGGUGAAAUGCGCAGAUAUCAGGAGGAACACCGGUGGCGAAGGCGGGCUCUGGGCCUACUGACGUGCUGAG
rnacentral:rRNA from 1 species